rnacentral:rRNA from 1 species
UACGGGAGGCAGCAGUGGGGAAUAUUGCACAAUGGGCGCAAGCCUGAUGCAGCCAUGCCGCGUGUAUGAAAAAGGCCUUCGGGUUGUAAAGUACUUUCAGUCGUGAGGAAGGUGUUAAGGUUAAUAACCUUAGCAAUUGACGUUAGCGACAGAAGAAGCACCGGCUAACUCCGUGCCAGCAGCCGCGGUAAUACGGAGGGUCGCGAGCGUUAAUCGGAAUUACUGGGCGUAAAGGGCACGCAGGCGGUUAAUUAAGUUGGAUGUGAAAUCCCCGGGCUUAACCUGGGAAUGGCAUUCAAGACUGGUUAGCUAGAGUCUUGUAGAGGGGGUAGAAUUCCAUGUGUAGCGGUGAAAUGCGUAGAGAUGUGGAGGAAUACCGGUGGCGAAGGCGGCCCCUGGACAAAGACUGACGCUCAUGUGCGAAAGCGUGGGGAGCAAACAGGGAUUAGAUACC